AAAGUUGCUUUGGUUUGUCAGGAAAGCAUUUGUCAUGUUAUGUGUGUAAUUGAAUCUGCUAGUUCGUACAAAUAAAAAAACCACAUGAGAGUUGCCACUGGAAAACUCUCUCGGCCCCCACCCUUCCUUAGGAAGGAAUUCCCACUCUGCUCUGUUUUUGUGUUUCAAGCUUCUCUUGCAGCUCAUUUAUCAACUGGCGUGUUUUCUGGCUUUGCCGAAGAUGAUGACUGUGAUGGCUCAAAGACAUCUCCUUCACUGCUUUCUGCUAAUUCUGAGAGCUAUCUAAUAGUGCAUUUUAAAGAUGCUGGUCCAAGGAAAAUAUUUCAUACGCAAAAGGAAGAGGAGCACAAAUGAUGGAGUGGAAGGCCAUAGAAGUAAGAAGGCAGAACUCCUGAAAUGCCUGUAGGUACCCGUGACAGGCAGUCCCACGAGUGAGUCCUGUAGCAGGCAAAGAAGAGCAAAGCACAUCGGUCACUGAGGACAGUUCCAAGCCCAGGCAUGGGGCAGGGCAUCAUCAAGUGUCAGAAGAGAAUCAGGAAUGCCUGCCUCUACAGUGCAUGUUUUCUGACAGAUGCACAGCAUAAUGAAUAAGAAAUCAAAUAACUUCACAAGGAUUGGAUUGUGAAAUACGAAGAUUUAAUCAAACACUGAGGUUUCAUAGUCCCAGCAGCUGACUUUGAAAAUUCAGGUGAACAUCCAGUACUUUCCACAGAGGCCUUGCACCCUGGCCACAACUGGUGUACAGGGCAGAUGGACAGAUUGACUGAGGGUCCUCAAUCGGUCUGCUUGGAAAAAGUCACUGUGGCUUUCUGAAGGUUUUGACCAUUUGAGAGGAACAUGAAAGGACUAGAUCUGGGGAGCAGGAGAGAGAAAUUAGAGAAUUAACUCCAUAAAACCGCUUCAUCUUCAGAAGGACUGUGCAAUAUUGUUGUUUCUAUUCUCCUACAAACAUGGAUAAAAUACACGGUGCUCCCUGACAAGAGAAAUAUUUUCAGCUCCCCACUAACGUAAGUAUCCUGGCCCUCUUGAUAAUAAGCCUACUCUGUAAUAGAGCUUUCUGAUGCAAAGGAAUGCAUCUGUAGUGUCUGCCCCAGAAGCUCUCAUCACUGAAACCCAGUUCUAGCCUUUGUGGCAGUACUGGUUUGCUUUUCGUUUUCACCAG
rnacentral:lncRNA from 1 species